rnacentral:rRNA from 1 species
UUGCUGUUGGAUACCACCUUGAGCACUCCUGACCUAGUCCAACUUCGGAAGCUAAGCAGUGUCAGGCUUGGUUAGUACUUGGAUGGAAGGAAUCCAAAUUAUUCGUAUA